UGUUUUAAAUGUUCGCUAGAGAGCUGCGGGUCUUAUGACGUUAAGGAAAAAGGAUUAAUGUGAUCGGCCUUGUCCUAGAAACACCUAGAAAGUUUUAAGGUAGUGACGUCAAGUUUUUUUCUGGUAUAUUCCUAGCCAGAUUAGGAAUAUAAGAUAGUUGUGAAGUAUGUAGAGUUAUAUUAGGGUAUAGAGUUGAAUAUGUCUGUGUUUUACUGAAGUAUUUGGAUGGGUUUGCUAUCGCGCCUAUUGAGAUACUUUGUACUAGUAAUAGCAUUAGUAAGGUUUGAAUGUCAUUUUUGAUGUAGGUCUACAACAAUUUACGAUCAAGGUACAAGUGUUCAAGCUUAUCGAAAGUGAAACAUUGAUUAAGUUAAAGAGAGAAAUAAAUUCAUUUGUGAUGAUAUGUGAACUGGAUUUUAAGUUUAAACCAUUUUAUUUUUUAAACCAGAUAAUUUAAAAGAACCCUUCAAUGAAAGAAGGCUACAAGUUACAACAACAUAAUAUACACCUAUGAUAUACUGAUGAUGAUAUAGAUGAAAUUAAAUCUUUAGAUUUUUCAUUGCUCUUCCUUUAAGUUUAACACUUAAUAACAGUUUUAGUUUAAUUUCUGAAUAGGAACUUGUACUGUAUGACAAAAGCUCUUGCUCUUAUUGAUAUUAAAUUCACUUUUUCAUCAUACCCACUGAUGGAACAGACAUAUAACGAAUAUUAAUAUUUUAUCUUGCAUUCUUUAUGUUUUUGUUUUUUACAAGGGAAAGAAAUUUGAGAACACAGCAGUUAAAAAGCCAAUAUGGUUUGGUCAUUAUAAGGAAGUGUGAGGUAACAGUAUAAAAAUAUUAAAUGAAAUGUAGUUCUACAUAUAUAUACAUUCCUAUGUAACAGAUUUGAAGUAUGUAUAAAAUUAACUGCACACUGUGCAUAGUACAAGCAUACUGUAUACCAAUAGUCAGAUAACAUUGUGUUUAGAAAUGUUACCAGCUUUGUAUGAUACCUUAGUUAUAGUUUUUGUACAGUUCUGAUCAGGUGAGUCAUUGGCAUGUGUAAAGUAAAAUAUUAUUUCCAUUCAGAAUAACAAAUUGUUAUUUUGAACAAAAAUGACUACCUUAAUAAAAUACAUGAUAUUCUGGAUGAUUCUACAAAGUUUAUAUCCUGUAUAAAACUAUGUGAUGUAUGGUACAAUAGUAUAAUGUACUAUGUUUCUUUUGAUGUUAGGUUUUCCCUUCACUUAUAAUUAUAUUCUUUUUAACCCUGUGUGCAUGGUUGAGGGUCAAAGUUGCAUGUCAUGACCUUCUACAGAGUGCUAUUCAACGUGGUAUAUUUGAAGAUAGAGUUAUCAACUAAUGCCCUACAUUGCUGAUUUAGCAUCUGAUCUUUUUGUGUACAACAGACUUGUGCAUAUUAUUAAAAGCAUACCAAUGGAUUGAGCCUGUGCAUGUAUAAUUAAACGGUAAUCAAUUCUAUACAAUUAUUUUUCUAUUACAGGUAAUAUGGUAAAAGGGCAUCCUUUUGUUUUAACCAUAAUCAUUUGAUCAAGAGAUAAAAUGCCUGACUGAUCAAGAGAUGGGGUUUGAAAUGUGAAAACCUGAGUGAAGAAAGUGAUAAUGCAUGACAAUAUGAUUGAAGUCUCAAACACACUGAUAUUUUACUUAAGUCUUUAAAAGAAAUAAUAGGAUUUCCUAUUUUUAUUCAUGGUUCAUUCAGCAUCUUCUUAUUAAAGCCAUGAAAGGUGCUAUAGCUACUUAUGGUGGAACUUGGAGUAACCUCACUGGGUAGGUGAUUUAGUUCAGUUAUGAAGGUGGUAUGCACAGACUAGUUACAGAGUUUUGGCUUUUACUGACACCAAAGUAUUCAAAAAAAGUUGUAGUUUAAUACACCUAAUGAAGUGUAAAUAGUCUGUGAUAAUGAACAGAAUUUUGUUUGAAAAAAUUUAUUGAUAUUUUAGAUUCUUAUUUGAAACCAAAAGAAAAACAAAUGUUUGCUACUCGGGUGAUAAUUUUUCCAUUUUGGUUGUAUUUGUCAAGCUUCUUUUAUGUGUGUAAUUUCCAAUGAAAACUUUUAUUUGAAUGCUGUUUAUUAGGAGCUUAGAACUUAUGUUCAGAUAGAUCAAACAAGUAGAUAAUAGGCUUAUGGCUUCAUUGUUCUUUCACACUGUAUUGUAUAGUUUAUUUAAAUGAAACAUGAUUGGAACAUUCUUUAUUUUUCUUUCCUGUAUCACCAAAGUUGUUGAGGAGUUAUAGUGCAAGAGUUUUUUCCUUGUUUCGUCAUUGUUCACUUGAAUAGCAAUGAACUCAAACAUCCUACGACAUGUAUUUUAUAACACCCAGUAAUAUCAUAAAUGUAAAGAUUAAAACGAAAAUUACAAGUUGGAUGUUCCUUGUUAGGAACAUCAAAACUGGGAACAUCUACAACAUUGAUACGUUAUGAGAUUUUAAAGUCUGAAAAUGGAAUGUGUAGUUUCCAGUGAGCUAAUGUAAUCAUGUUCUGGUCAUAGUAUGAAAUCUGUACGUAAUUCAUAUCGUGAAAAAGCCCAGUGUUGAUAUAUUAUAUAUAUACUCAGUUUUUACAUACAAAUGGUAUACUUACUAUUCUGAACACUACAUGUUUUUAUAGAAUGUUUAAAGACAGCUUGAAAAUAAUGCUGUUACAGCUAUGGCCAAAGCAUGUGAACAUUCUUAUUAAAGAAAGAAUUAUCCAUGACACUUUACAAGUGAGCUAGAUACAAUGAUUGAUUGUUAAAAAUAAAAACAGAACCAUGGGUUUGAGAAUAAAAAAAUGUUUUCAUAGCCAAUAUGAUUUUUUGUAUCUGAAGGAAUAAAUGCGAGUUUCUCGUAACAAUUUAAUGAAGAGUUUCACAUUCUUUUUUUGUCAUUGACAAGGUCUGUAAUUAACAUUGAAUGUCUGAAUGUCAUCAGUAAUAUCUGAAAUGAAUAUUGUGCAUCAAGAAAAUAGUAUAGAACAAAAAAUUUGCAGUACUCUACAGUUAGGUUGCAGCUGUGUGAUUUAGUACUCCAUAGACUACACAAAAUGUUACUUUAAUGGAACUUUUUAAACACAAAAGUUGAUUUAACAUCAGCAUUUUAUUGUCCUAAUAUGUUGAGCCACUAAGUAAUCAAACCUACUCCUAUAACAACUUUGUUGAACGUGAUCUUGUGAAACAUAUUUGCACUUGUAAAGAGGAUGAAUGAAAAUAAAAUUUAAAGAGGCUCAAGUAACAGUCAUUCUUCGUUUCAGCUGGCUCAGGUGACUUCCUCCCAAGGUUACUGGAGGCCAGUGUAAUGUUUUUGUGAGUGAGAAAGCAUUACAAUAGCUUUAUAAUGGACAUUUCGAAACACACAACUCUGUGCCAGGUCAUCACAAAUGGGUGUGACUUACAAAACACUUUUAAAGAUGAAGAGAAUAAAACAAAUGACCGUGACAUACAAAACACUUCUAGUGUUGAAAAGCACAACACAAAUGGAUUUGACGUACAAAACACUACUAGUGAUGAAAAGCACAACACAAAUGGUUCUGACAUACACAAAAUGUCUAGUUAUGGAGAGCACAAAACAAGUGGCCUUGAUGUUCAAAACAGUUCUAGUGAUGAAGAGCACAACACAGGUGGCCCUGCUGUACAAAACAUUUCUAAUAAACUGAUCAAAACACAAUUGCUGGAAAAAUAAGUGCUUGUUUUAUAGAAUUAGCAUUGUGAAUAUUGAUGAAACAUGUUGUAAUAUGUGAGCUUUAAAUACAUUGUUUUUAAGACUUUUUCAUAUAGCUAAAUAAAGAAAAUUAUGUUUCAUUUAUUUUCUUGAAGGCCUUAAAAGAAACUUAUGUAAGAGUAAGUUAGUAAUUUACGGUCGAAUUGACUGUGUUUUGAAUACCCUUCCUGAAUGAAUGUCCAUUUUUAUGAGUGUACAUUUUUCACAGUAUUUUUUGCUAGCUUCUACAAUUGCAAGUAGUUCUUUUCAAGGAAUAAUAUUUGAUUGAUUUUUAAAGAAAAAUGUGAAAUAUAUGAAUUAUUCUUCAAACAGUAUUACCUUUUAUGGUAAAAUUUACAAAUGAAAGGAAGAAAAAUUCUAGAAUAACAGGAUGGUUAUUAUAGUUAUUUGUGACAAUGAAAAAUGGAGCUUCAUCAUAAAUAAUAUUCCAUAUAAUAUAAAGCCUUUUGUUAUUGAACUAAUCUAAUUGCAAUGUCCAGUGGCCCUACAAUUUUUAAUUAAGUCAUCAUUAAAAGGACAAGUACGGACUAGUGGCUAUUGUAACUGGACUCUGGAUUCAAGGGUUUUGAAUUCAAAAUAUGGUGUAUGUUGGAUUGGAGAUUAACGAUCUAGGUUAAAAAAUUUGCUGUGACCAAGCAUGGUUCAAACUUUCAGCUGUGGGUGCAUUAUAAGAGUGACUGUCAGUCACGCUGUUUGGUUAUAAUAACUACUUUAGGCAGUAGGUACUGCCAACAUAUUCUCUGACUGACAUUUAUCUUAUUGGGUACAUAAGAUAUUAUUCAGAUGGAAAACAAAUGAACCCAUCCCAAAUUUUUCACAAAUAUCAAUAAAUGUAUUCUUUUUCAGGUCAUCUUGGGUUGCUGAUGUGAUGGUGAUGCAUGUCGACGUUGACUAUGUGCAAGUAAUUGAUGGUUUUAUGAAUGUAGCUUUAACAAGAAAAUUCUUAGGAUUGUAAUAACUACUGAUGUUGCAACUUGUGUGUUUAUAAUAGACUGGAACAAUAAACACUAUUGUUGAGCAUUGCAGUCCACAAUGGAA
rnacentral:lncRNA from 1 species